rnacentral:rRNA from 1 species
UAGGGAAUAUUAGUAAUGGGCGCAAGCCUGAACUAGCAAUGCCGCGUGUGCGAAGAAGGCCUUCGGGCUGUAAAGCACUUUUCGAGAGGAUGAGGAAGGACGGUACUCUCAGAAUAAGUCUCGGCUAACUACGUGCCAGCAGCCGCGGUAACACGUAGGAGGCGAACGUUAUCCGGAUUUACUGGGCGUAAAGCGCGUGCAGGUGGUUUGGUAAGUAGGGCGUGAAAGCUCCUGGCUCAACUGGGAGAGGCCGUUCUAAACUGCCGAACUAGAGGAUGGUAGAGGGAGGUGGAAUUCCGGGUGUAGCGGUAGAAUGCGCAGAUAUCCGGAGGAACACCAGUGGCGAAAGCGGCCUCCUGGACCAUUCCUGACACUCAGACGCGAAAGCUAGGGUAGCAAACGG